UACAGGAUGGCUGAUAAAGGUGGGAAACUGUAAAUUUCCUCAUGGGAUUACCUCCCUCCUGUAA
rnacentral:tRNA from 1 species